rnacentral:rRNA from 1 species
GACGAACGCUGGCGGCGUGCCUAAUACAUGCAAGUUGAGCGCUGAAGGUUGGUACUUGUACCAACUGGAUGAGCAGCGAACGGGUGAGUAACGCGUGGGGAAUCUGCCUUUGAGCGGGGGACAACAUUUGGAAACGAAUGCUAAUACCGCAUAAAAACUUUAAACACAAGUUUUAAGUUUGAAAGAUGCAAUUGCAUCACUCAAAGAUGAUCCCGCGUUGUAUUAGCUAGUUGGUGAGGUAAAGGCUCACCAAGGCGAUGAUACAUAGCCGACCUGAGAGGGUGAUCGGCCACAUUGGGACUGAGACACGGCCCAAACUCCUACGGGAGGCAGCAGUAGGGAAUCUUCGGCAAUGGACGAAAGUCUUACCGAGCAACGCCGCGUGAGUGAAGAAGGUUUUCGGAUCGUAAAACUCUGUUGGUAGAGAAGAACGUUGGUGAGAGUGGAGAGCUCAUCAAGUGACGGUAACUACCCAGAAAGGGACGGCUAACUACGUG